AAUGAAUGAUGCCAAGUCGAUGCGUGGCUGUCAAAGUAGAUAGCCUCUGUCUUCACUUUCAUCUCCUCCGGCAUGAAGUCCACCUCAAACCAAUCCUCUGCUCAUGACAAUCCUGCUGAAUCUGUUUCUCCGUCGUCUUCAGUGGAUCUACUCACCGCCUCCAUAAGAUCCGCCAUAUGUUUCAUCGUCUCCUGAUGUCUCUCC
rnacentral:lncRNA from 1 species